rnacentral:rRNA from 1 species
CCCUUAGAUGUUCUGGGCCGCACGCGCGCUGCACUGAUGAAUUCAACGAGCUCCUAACCUAGGCCGAAGGGUCCGGGUAAUCUUUGAAAUUUCAUCGUGAUGGGGAUAGAUUAUUGCAAUUAUUAAUCUUCAACGAGGAAUUCCUAGUAAGCGCGAGUCAUCAGCUCGCGUUGAUUACGUCCCUGCCCUUUGUACACACCGCCCGUCGCUCCUACCGAUUGAAUGGUCCGGUGAAAUGUUCGGACCGCGACAAGGCGGACGGUUCGCUGUCAGCUUUGCUGCGGGAAGUUCAUUAAACCUUAUCAUUUAGAGGAAGGAGAAGUCGUANCA